GCUUCUAUUUUGGGCCGAAUUAAAUCAUUUGGGCCGAGUCUUUUCCUUUAGGACUAGAGUGUUGGGCUUGAGUAUUGGGCUCCGUUUAUUUAAAUAAGUUAUGGGCCGAUUUUCUUUUAAUUGAAUCUGGGCUAAUUUUAUUUAUUCAACAUGGACUCAGUUUUAAUUAAUAGUUGGGCCUUUAUUUAUUUAAAAAUUUUGGGCUGUUUUCUAUUAAUUAAAUGGACUACACUUAUAUUAAUUAAUUGGACUAUUAAUUAGUUUAAUUAAUUUAUUCAAAGAUUUGUUUUCAUAAUAAUAUUAAAUUAUUAUUAUGUGCAUAUUUUAAGUAAAUUACUUAUUAUAUGCUAAGCAUGACAUGAAAUUGCAUUUUUACUUGCAAUAAAAGUAUUUAAUUGGUUUUAAUUAUAAUUCCAAUUAUUAAAGAAAGAUGAGUAAGAAUAUUGUUGGUGUUCUUAACUCAAGAGAAAUAUUUUCAAGUAUUUAUUUAUUAAAUUUUGAAAACCCGGCUAAGUGAAUCAUAGAAUGUUAAGCACUACACCAUGACUUAAGAUUAGAUACAAGGAGACCUAUUGAGAAUAGAUUUCUUGUAGGCUUCGAGCAUCAGAAGGAUUAGCACUGCUAUUCCGAUUCAGAGAUAAGGUUAAACGACAGGCUUUGCCUAUACAGGUUGAGCAGUUGAUGGAAUGGAAUGAUGUUGAGCGGGUGUUCCUUUGACAUUUCAAGAAAUAUAACCUUGAGUAUACAUCUUCAUAUGUAUAUCUCACACGUUUUUCCGCUGCAAAACACUUUGAUUAGGAUAACUUUAUGUUAUGAAGUUGGGAUACGUGUUAUUGGGUAACCCACCUUAAUCAGUUCUCAUUUAUGUGUAUGUUUUAUAAGUAUCCAAAUAAUCAUAUAUGAUCCUAGCAUUUUAUCUA